AUACCGGGCCUUUUUGGGCUUGGUAAUUGGAAUGAGGGAGAGUUAAACGGACCAUCGAGUAUCCAUUGGAGGGCAAGUCUGGUGCCAGCAGCUGCGGUAAUACCAGCUCCAAUAGCGUAUAUUAAAGUUGUUGCAGUUAAAAAGCUCGUAGUUGGACUUGUGUGCGCUGUCCGCGGGUGGCCUGCGCCCAAAAGGGCGUUUCGGUUCGGCCCCGGUGGCGCCUUGAAAUCUGCAGCUGGGGGGACGUUGGCCUUAACUGGUCGGCGACCGCACGCCGGCUGCUCGGUUACUGUGAGAAAAUUAGAGUGUUCAAGGCAGGCAUUGGGUGCAAUUGAAUACAUUAGCAUGGAAUAAUAAAAUAUGGCUCCUGCCGUACUUUGUUGGUUUUGACUGGUGGGAGUAAUGAUUGAUAGGGACGGUUGGGGGUGCUAGUAUUGAGCGGCCAGAGGUGAAAUUCAUGGAUUCGCUCAAGACUAACUUAUGCGAAAGCAUUCACCAAGGACGUCCUCUUUAAUCAAGAACGAAAGUUGGGGGAUCGAAGACGAUCAGAUACCGUCGUAGUCUCAACCAUAAACUAUGUCGACUUGGGAUCGGCGGUAGUUUUUUCAUUAAGACACUGUCGGGACCACGGGAGAAAUCAAAGUGUCUGGACUCUGGGGGAAGUAUGGUCGCAAGGCUGAAACUUGAAGGAAUUGACGGAAGGGCACCACCAGGAGUGGAGCCUGCGGCUUAAUUUGACCCAACACGGGGAAACUUACCAGGUCCAGAGAUGUAGAGGAUUGACAGAUUGAAGCUCUUUCUUGAUCACUUCGGUGGUGGUGCAUGGCCGUUCUUAGUUGGUGGAGUGAUUUGUCUGGUUAAUUCCGUUAACGAACGAGACCUCAGCCUGCUAGUGUAGUCGGCUGGAUUGCCUUUGGCGAUCCGUGAUUUCGACUUCUUAGAGGGACAAUCGACGCGCAGUCGAUGGAAGUUUGAGGCAAUAACAGGUCUGCGAUGCCCUUAGAUGUUCUGGGCCGCACGCGCGCUACACUGCUGGGCUCAGCGAGUUUUACUUGGCCGAGAGGCCCGGUUAAUCUUGUGAAAUCCCAGCGUGCUUGGGCUCGCCUCCUGCAACUGGAGGCGCCAACGAGGAAUUCCUAGUAGACGCAGGUCAUCAACCUGCAUCGAUUACGUCCCUGCCCUUUGUACACACCGCCCGUCGUUCCAUAAGAGUGAGGCAUCCGGUGAAUUCUCGGGAGAGCCUGGGCGUGGCCAGCAAUGGUCUGCUCGGGUUUGAACUUGCAUAAACUUGGUGCCUAUGAUUAGGG
rnacentral:rRNA from 1 species